UUCAGUCUCUCUUCUCCUCACACUCCAACCCUGCUCACCUCUCAGCUGGACAGUAAGGGACGUUUACACCACACACUGACACCAUGCUGGGGAUCCUCUGCACUCUCAUCACUGCUCUAACAUGUGUGAGUGGUGUGACGGUGGUGACACAGAAGCCUCCUGUUGUGAUGCUAAGGAAAGGAGAGACAGCCACCAUGGACUGUAACCUGGGGACUGUUACUGAAAGUGGAGCUCGUUGGUAUAAACAGAUUCCUGGAGGAGUUCCACAGUUUGUCUUAUUUUUUUAUCGAAGUUUGAGCUCUCCAGAAUAUGGCUCUGGUUUCUCAUCUCCCAAGUUCACAUCUACUCAUCAGUCUCAAUCAGAUUAUCGUUUGAUCAUCAACAACGUGGAGGAGGGAGACUCAGCAAUCUAUUACUGUAAAACAUGGGACAGCUCUGUGAAAGAGUACGCAUCACAGUGAUUUACACUGUGACAAAAACCUCCUCACAAACACUUCUGCUUUUUGACCUGCUGAUACACAUUGACUGGGAGUGAAGAUAACUUCUUUUAUCCGAUUCUCAAAUAAAUUCUCAGAUCUUUCCUAGUGGCAGUAUAGGCCUACUGUGUUUACCAGUUUUCCAAGUGGCAAAUACAUCGUCUCAUGUGUACAUGCUUUAAUACAAAAACAGCCUAUAUGCUUACUAGUAAAUAUAAACCACUAAUACACAAGUUGUCAUCUAUGAAACUCAUUGUUUUUACUAAAUUUUGUGUCUCUUGCCACUCAUCAUACAGCGUUUAAAAAGUUUGCAGCAGAUGCCCUUUUGUUGAUCUAAAUUCAGAUGUAAUAAAUACAGUAUGUCUUCAUACAAGCUGUCAAGUGCACAUGUAGUGAUGAUUGUUACACAAACACUUGUAAAAAAAUAUAAAUCCUGUUGCAUUUUUCCUUCUUCAUGAACAGGACCAAAGAUCAUCUGGCAACCAAAAGUUAUGAACACUGAAAGUUAAGUCUUCUACAGCAGAAACACAACUGAAUGAAAAUGCUACACCUCCAAUGAGAACAUGUCAUAUAGAUUUAGUGAUUCAUGUUGUGUUUCCAGUGAAUGAAACGCUGGAGUUUUCAUUAAUAUGGAGCAUGUUACUUCAGUGAGAGCAAGUUAAUGGGAAGGCGAUAAAGCUGAGAUGAGAGAUAAACAGUUAGAAAAACUCUACACACUGUUUAUUACAGAACACUGUUUACACUUGGUGUAAUAUACAACUGAAAGAAAAAAUUAACCUGAAAACAGAUUAAAUUAUGUUUAGUAUGUGAUCAUCCCUAAUUGAUUUCUUGCUAACAUUUGUUGAAGAAAUAUAAUGAGCCAGGUUCAGGUGUGAUGAAGAAGACUGAUGAUGACUUAACAUACUGUAGCAUUUUUUAUUGAGCCCGACAGAGGAGAUACAGUGUCAGCAUCCAACGUGUUAAAACAUGCAUUGCCCACACCAAAUCUGAAGUAUGCUUCCUGUCUGAGGAUAUUCAUCCUUCCUAGACCUCCAGAGAUUCAUUAGGUGUCCAAAUAAAGUUACUGUUCAUCCCUC